AACGAACGCUGGCGGCAGGCUUAACACAUGCAAGUCGAGCGCCCCGCAAGGGGAGCGGCAGACGGGUGGGUAACGCGUGGGAACGUACCUUUUGGUUCGGAACAACUCCGGGAAACUGGAGCUAAUACCGGAUAAGCCCUAACGGGGAAAGAUUUAUCGCCGAAAGAUCGGCCCGCGUCUGAUUAGCUAGUUGGUGAGGUAACGGCUCACCAAGGCGACGAUCAGUAGCUGGUCUGAGAGGAUGAUCAGCCACACUGGGACUGAGACACGGCCCAGACUCCUACGGGAAGCAGCAGUGGGGAAUAUUGGACAAUGGGCGCAAGCCUGAUACAGCCAUGCCGCGUGAGUGAUGAAGGCCUUAGGGUUGUAAAGCUCUUUUGUCCGGGAAGAUAAUGACUGUACCGGAAGAAUAAGCCCCGGCUAACUUCGUG
rnacentral:rRNA from 1 species